rnacentral:lncRNA from 1 species
AAGGAGAACUGGAAGGGAAGAUUUCAUGCUGUUGAUUUUCCUGGAGAAGCAUCCUGUGGCUGGUUUUCUGGAUAUGAACUUAGCUGUUGUUGUCAUCAGAGGAGCUCAGGUCCUCGCUGUCAACAGGGACGGCCGCUGUUCUCUUCCAGGGAGCUCAGGUCUUCGGUUCCUGGCUCCACUGCAGAUCCCUCAGCCCACCAGUGCAGACUUUCUGGCUUCCACCACUGGCCUUGGCCUUCCUGGUGCAGUUUCUCGAUACGGACUUGCAGGAGACAUUGCCAUGGGCUCCAGGCCUUCAGCUGGACUCUGCAGGACACUGCUGUGGGAUCUAAGGCCUCAGUUCUCUUGCUGAGCCAAAACCAAAAUUGUAAAUCAAACAAGGACGAGACAACAGCCCAGCUGAACCAUUGGCUGAGGAGGGCUGGAGAGCAGCGCCUGUGGACAUCUGCUGUUAGGCAUGAGCCAAGCCUUCCCAGGAGAACUGGAGAGGAGCUCCAGUCUUCGCUUUCACCUUCAAUGUUGUCCUCUGGCUUCCAGCACAGACUCCUCAGCCUCCAUCACAGACCCAUCGGCCUCCUGAUGUGGACUCGCAG